GAUGAACGCUGGCGGCGUGCCUAAUACAUGCAAGUCGAACGCUGAAGGAAGGAGCUUGCUCUUUCCGGAUGAGUUGCGAACGGGUGAGUAACGCGUAGGUAACCUGCCUGGUAGCGGGGGAUAACUAUUGGAAACGAUAGCUAAUACCGCAUAACAGUAGAUGUUGCAUGAUAUCUACUUAAAAGGUGCAAUUGCACCACUACCAGAUGGACCUGCGUUGUAUUAGCUAGUUGGUGAGGUAACGGCUCACCAAGGCGACGAUACAUAGCCGACCUGAGAGGGGGAUCGGCCACACUGGGACUGAGACACGGCCCAGACGCCUACGGGAGGCAGCAGUAGGGAAUCUUCGGCAAGGGACGGAAGUCUGGCCGAGCAACGCCGCGUGAGUGAAGAAGGGUGUCGGAUCGUAAAGCUCUGUUGUAAGAGAAGAACGAGUGUGAGAGUGGAAAGUUCACACUGUGACGGUAGCUGACCAGAAAGUGACGGCUAACUACGUG
rnacentral:rRNA from 1 species